rnacentral:lncRNA from 1 species
CUCAACACUUGUUAUAAAAAAAAAAAAUUAUAAUUUAAUAAAAAAAAAAAAAAAUAACGACGUGCAUAAAAGUAAAAUCGUAACAAAAUACUGUUAUGUUAUAUGCAUAUAUAUAUAUAUAUAUAUAUUUAUCAUACCUUAAUUUUUUACGAAACAAUUAUAAAAUAAAAAAUUACAAAAACACUAAGAGAAAAUUAUUGUUAAUGUAUUUUUUUUUUUUAUUUUAAAAGUAAAAAUAUUUUUAAUAAAAAAUUAAGGAUAUUAGCAAUAUUACUACAAGUUGUAUAUAUAAAUAUACGUAUACAUAUGUAUGUAAAUAUGUAUAAAUCUAUGUAAAUAAAAAACAGAAACACAAUGAAGUAUUCCCAUUUUAAGAGCUCUUUAAGGUUUGCGAGUAAGCUUUACCAAAACAACAACUACAAGCUAUAUUUAAAUAGCGUACCACAGUUUUCCACCUAUGCAUAUGGGAAAUUUGUAAAAACAAACCCGUUAACAAAUAGACUUGACCAUUUAUCAUCAAAAAAACACAAGUUUGAUCAGUAUACUGAGUAUAAAUGGGUUAGAUGA